UACGUAGGGUGCAAGCGUUGUCCGGAAUUAUUGGGCGUAAAGAGCUCGUAGGCGGUUCGUCGCGUCGGCUGUGAAAACCCGGAGCUCAACUCCGGGCCUGCAGUCGAUACGGGCGGACUAGAGUUCGGCAGGGGAGACUGGAAUUCCUGGUGUAGCGGUGAAAUGCGCAGAUAUCAGGAGGAACACCGGUGGCGAAGGCAGGUCUCUGGGCAUUAACUGACGCUGAGGCACGAAAGCGUGGGGAGCAAACAGG
rnacentral:rRNA from 1 species